rnacentral:lncRNA from 1 species
GUGGGAACAAGGUCGAUGUUAAGAACCGACAGGUGAAGGCAAAACAAGUUACCUUCCACCGCAAAAAGAAUUUGCAGUACUAUGAAAUAUCCGCAAAGAGUAACUACAACUUUGAGAAGCCCUUUCUGUACCUUGCCAGGAAACUUGCUGGGUAAUUAACUUCAUUUAUCGAGGAUCAAAAUAUGUGAAGGCAUGAUUUUCCAUUUAAUUUGCUCAAGGCAAAGUUUUUUGUGGUUAUAGGGAUCAAAACUUACACUUUGUGGAAUCUCCUGCACUUGCUCCUCCUGAAGUGCAAAUUGACUUGGCUGCACAGCAACAGUAAGCGCACACCCUCCCUCUCUCAUCGUGAGUUUCAAGCUUCCUCACAUAAAUAUUUACUGAAAUGUGGUGAAUUUUGCAGGCAUGAAGCAGAGCUUGCUGCGGCUGCCAGUCAACCAUUGCCUGAUGAUGAUGACGAUGCCUUUGAGUAAACUCAGUAAAGCUUAUAAUUAGAAGGAUCUCUAAGUGGCGCAUUCCUUCUAUGUUGGUGCCCCAACCUUUUCUCUUGUUAUUUUGGGAUGAUCA